UACGUAGGGUCCGAGCGUUAAUCGGAAUUACUGGGCGUAAAGCGUGCGCAGGCGGUUUUGUAAGCCAGAUGUGAAAUCCCCGGGCUUAACUUGGGAACUGCAUUUGGGACUGCAAGGCUGGAGUACGGCAGAGGGAGGUGGAAUUCCACGUGUAGCAGUGAAAUGCGUAGAGAUGUGGAGGAAUACCGAUGGCGAAGGCAGCCCCCUGGGAUAACACUGACGCUCAUGCAUGAAAGCGUGGGGAGCAAACAGG
rnacentral:rRNA from 1 species